GCGCCGGUGGCGGAGCGGUCAAUCGCGAUAGACUGUAGAUCUAUUGCCUUCGGGCUACGCAGGUUCGAAUCCUGCCCGGCGCA
rnacentral:tRNA from 1 species